rnacentral:rRNA from 1 species
UGGGGAAUCUUCCGCAAUGGACGAAAGUCUGACGGAGCAACGCCGCGUGAGUGAAGACGGCCUUCGGGUUGUAAAGCUCUGUGAUCCGGGACGAAAGAGCCUGAGGUGAAUAGCCUAAGGAAGUGACGGUACCGGAAAAGCAAGCCACGGCUAACUACGUGCCAGCAGCCGCGGUAAUACGUAGGUGGCAAGCGUUGUCCGGAAUUAUUGGGCGUAAAGCGCGCGCAGGCGGCUUCCUAAGUCCAUCUUAAAAGUGCGGGGCUUAACCCCGUGAUGGGAUGGAAACUGGGAAGCUGGAGUAUCGGAGAGGAAAGUGGAAGUCCUAGUGUAGCGGUGAAAUGCGUAGAGAUUAGGAAGAACACCGGUGGCGAAAGCGACUUUCUGGACGAAAACUGACGCUGAGGCGCGAAAGCGUGGGGAGCAAACAGG